rnacentral:lncRNA from 1 species
GUGACUGCUACCUCUACCUGCAACAAGAAACGCAAAAAAGGGCCACAAACAGUUGAUUUUAGAUUUGUCUUUCUUUGUUUUUUUAGAUUUGCAUUUCUCCCUUCUUCUUCUUCGGAUCUGCUUCACUGCGGGUCAGCUGUUAUGGGUUUCAUCUUCUUCUCCUCUGCUUUGGGGGCAGAUCGGGCGGCGCUGCAGCGUCUCAGUCGCAGUAGAAGGCUGGCCGGCGAGAGGAGAAUGAGAGGGUGUCUUGGCUGGCGGCAGUGACUACUGCUGGCGGAAGAAGGCGGACCGAUUUGGGUCUGUGAGCGCCACUGUGUUCGGGCUGGUCUGGGUCGCUUAUGGUGGAGACCGGUGGCGGUGCUGAGGUGCAGCGGCGGAUGACUUCUGUUAAUGAAGAAAGAGAACAAGCCGGCUGUGAGAGGAGAGGAUAGAGAGAGUGGUGGCUGUUAUUGAGGGAAAGACUGUUCUGUGUUGAGAGGGAAGAACCGAUUUGGGGAGGAGAAGGAAAUGCAAGGAGAUCGUUUGGUGAAAGGGAGAAGGCUGUGUUUGGGAGAAGAUGUUGGAGGUGAGGGCUAUGUGUUGAUGGCCGUCAAGAGGGAGACGAGGACGAUGGAGAUGGUGGAACUGAGGGGGAAAAUGUGGGGGUCUGAUAUGGCCGGGGGGUCCUUGGCUCUCUGGUUCUGGGAGAGCAAAAGCCAAGGACCCCGGGGGGCGCGGCUGGUCUUGGUUCCUUUUUUCAAAUGGGGGCGCCGGCUUCGGGUUAAGGAGAAGAAAGGGUUAUGAUUUUUAGGGUUUUUUGUGGUUUAGGGUUUAUUUGUGAUCCCCUCUAUUGUGCCAAAAUUGCCCCUCCCCCCAAGGCUACUAUUUAUAGGCAAAAUGUUGCUUGGGCCUCAAAAUUUGGUCCCUCAACUUCUUUUUUUGAAUUUGAUUUUCUAUUUUUUUGUAUUUUUUUGAAAACGAGCAAUAUCAACAUCGACUCAAUGAGGAAAAUCAAUGAUUUUAAAAAUAAUGCGUUAAAAGUUGAACGCGUUCCGAAUAUCUUUGAAAAUUUAAAUUCUUUUGAGACGAUGCUAAAAAUGCUAAAAACGAUGCAAAUGUAUUAAAAAUGUAUUUUUUUUGGAUUUUCAAUGUUUUUCGCUAUUUUUGAAUUUUUCUGAAAAUUUAUCAAAACAUGGGUCAAAAAUUGGGUAGCAACAGAUGCCCCCUCUUUACAAUGCUUACGAAGCAAAACUCCUCAAUGUUUUGCAUAGUAAGCUUUGUAAAGAAAAACUUGUCUUUCUGUCUGCUUAACUUGCUCAAUAUCCACUCAUCUAAAGACCUUGCUCUUUUUUUUUUUUUUUUGUUCUCUCUUCCUUCUCUUUUCUUCCUCUUCUUUCUUUCUUUUUUUCUUUAUUUCUCUCUCUUUUUUCGUUAACUUGAGAUCCCAUCUGGUGAUCUCCUUUUCCAAAACCAAAGAAUGUGUGUAGCUCGGUCAACCUGAAAUCCCAUAUGGAGAUUCCCUUUAACCAAAGCCACAUGAGAUCCCAUCUGGCGACCUCAUUCAACUGGAACUAAAAAAUAUGUGGAGCUCGGUCAACCUGAAAUCUCAUCUGGCGAUUCCCUUUAACCAAAGCUACCUGAGAUCCCAUCUGGCGACCUCAUUCAACUGGAACUAAAAAAAUAUGUGUAGCUCGGUCAACCUGAAAUCUCAUCUGGCGAUUUCCUUUAACCAAAGUCACCUGAGAUCCCAUCUGGCGACCUCAUUCAACUGGAACUAAAAAAAUGUGUGUGUCUCGGUCAACCUGAAAUCCCAUCUGGCGAUUCCCUUUAACCAAAGCCACCUGAGAUCCCAUCUGGUGACCUCAUUAAACUGGAACUAAAAACAAUGUGUGUGUCUCGGUCAACCUGAAAUCCCAUCUGACGAUUCCCUUUAACCAAAGCCAACUGAGAUCCCAUCUGGCGACCUCAUUAAACUGGAACUAAAAAAUGUGCGUAUGUAAAUCCCGAGAUAAACCAAGGCUGGAUUAUAUUAAAGAAAAAAAAACUAAACUAAAAAGAAGUGGGGGUAAGAACCAAUACACUUAAAGAAAAUGGGGCCUAAAUGCAAAUAAGAAUAAUUAUAGAGCAUAAAUACUCCUAUUCUCACCAAAAACAGAUCUGCAGCUACGUAAAGAAAGAAAAGAGGGAGUUUUUAUAUCUAUUUUUAGAAAUUAAGAGAGAAACACCAAAAUUUCAAGAACCCAUCCCAGAUUGAGGGUUAUAGGUAAAAUAAACCCUGGUGGGAAAGGGAUUAACAAGAAAAAAUUGAAUAAGAAGAGAAGAGGGGAGGGUCGGCUGUCAUUAGAAAGAAAAGGAGGGUUCGAAGCCUUGAUUCGCAUCAGGUAAGAUAUUCUAAACCUGGUCUUAUGAGUCAUUUCAAGUCGAUUAUGAAUUGAUGCCUGAAUGUUAAUUUAUAUAUUGAGUUCUUAGACUUGAAUUGAGGAAGAAAAAAAAAGUAAGAGUUGUUAAAGUAAAGAACUUCAUGUGUUGUGUGUAAAUGGAAAGGUUGAUGAAUCUGGACAGUUUCGUCUCUUGACCUUCAAAGAGAUUUUGGGUAGGAGAAUGAAGGAAUUAGGAUCAAGUUCCUUCAUAGAAAUUGUAGUUUUGGAUGUUUAUUAAUGAGCGAUUUUGACUACCUUAGAGGCAGAACUGGGUUCUUCCCAAAACAUAGGACUUGUAGCCUCAUGUCUUACCUUUCCAACGCCAUAAAUUUCGCUUGAAUCGGAGUUCUAUAACUCCAGAUAUAGUUAAACAUCUGAGGAGAGGUCAGACAGUAACAGUUCAAAAAUGGACAGUAACAGUUGGACAGUAACAGUCCAAGCAUUUGUUAAUGAGCGAUUUUGACUACCUUAGAGGCAGAACUGGGUUCUUACCAAAACAUAGAACUUGUAGCCUCAUGUCUUACCUUUCCAACGCCAUAAAUUUCGCUUGAAUCGGAGUUCUAUAACUCCAGAUAUAGUUAAAAAUCUGAGGAGAGGUCAGACAGUAACAGUUCAAAAAUGGACAGUAACAGUUGGACAGUAACAGUCCAAUCAUUUGUUAAUGAGCGAUUUUGACUACCUUAGAGGCAGAACUGGGUUCUUCCCAAAACAUAGGACUUGUAGCCUCCUGUCUUACCUUUCCAACGCCAUAAAUUUCGCUUGAAUCGGAGUUCUAUAACUCCAGAUAUAGUUAAAAAUCUGAGGAGAGAUCAGACAGUAACAGUUCAAAAAUGGACAGUAACAGUUGGACAGUAACAGUCCAAGCAUUUGUUAAUGAGCGAUUUUGACUACCUGAGAGGCAGAACUGGGUUCUUACCAAAACAUAGAACUUGUAGCCUCAUGUCUUACCUUUCCAAUGCCAUAAAUUUCACCUGAAUUGGAGUUCUAUAACUCCAGAUAUAGUUAAAAAUCUGAGGAGAGGUCAGACAGUAACAGUUCAAAAACGAGGCAGUAACAGUUGGACAAUGAAAGUCCAAAUAUAAAGAAAGGAAUGAUAACUAGGAUUGGACAAAGAACGACAAUAAUAAUGAGUGAGAUGAGAAAAACAUAUAAAGUACUGAGAAAUGACUGAAAGAAAGACUUAUUGGUUGUUGAUAUGGUUAUUGUAAAACAUAUCCUUGAGUGAGGAAAAUUUAUGAGAUAAACCUGUGAUUUGCAGGAGGGACCACAGACGUGGUGCAACAGCAGCAGCAGAGGAGCACGAGUAGAGCUUCUAUUGCAGGUAGGUGUUUCACACCUAUGCUUCCUAGUUAAAUUCCAUGAUUUAAUAUAUUUUGAUGUGAAAUGUGAAUUACUGAAUGUAUGUGUAUUCAAGGUGAAAAGUUGUUAUGUGAAUUGCCAAGUGAUGAAAUUAUCACUGAAAAAGGAAAAUAUUAGAAGUGUGAUUUGAGGCAUAAACUAGCAUACAUUGAGUGUAUGUUAGGAUCCCGGGUAAGGGGAUCACCAUGUAUUGUCUAGCAUACAUUGAGUGUAUGUUAGGAUCCCGGGUAAGGGGAUCACCAUGUAUUGUCUAGCAUACAUUCAGUGUAUGUUAGGAUCCCGGGUAAGGGGAUCACCAUGGAAUGGCCAGCAUACAUUUAGUGUAUGUUAGGAUUCCGGGUAAAGGGAUCGCCUUAUAUCGACUCCUAUGGGGUGGUGAUGACAAUACCAGUGAAAUUGGUAUCGGUAAUGUGAUAAGCAAAAGUAAUCACGUUGAUCUUAUAAAGUCUGGAAUGAAGGUUGAUAGUGGCAGAGGGAACGAUUAUUAAUAGUUUGAAUAAGGAAGAGAUUUUUAAAUAAAAAAAAACUAGAAGGGAGAAGUAAAUGAAAUAUGAAUGCAUGUUACCAUGUUGAAAUUAUUAGAUAUUCAUAUUGUUAUAUUUAUGGAAAUAUUCACCUUGCAAUAAUAUGUAUUUUGUUUCAGGAUCAUCGCAUGCACGACAGGAGUAGAUCCUAGCUUAUGUUUCCUUUUUGAAGUCUAGGUUCUAGGGAGUAUACCCUUGUAUUUUGUAAACAUGAAAAUGGUUGUAUAACUUAAUUUGUAUAAUAAAUGUUUAAACUUGAUUGGAUGAAUUUAACGUUGUAGUUUAUAUAAUCAUAUUUCAUGUCUAUGUAUUUAUAUUUAUUUAAAUUAUCCAUCCAUAAUGAUAUUUUUGUUAUAUAAUGCAUAUCAUAAAUAUUAUGGUUGAUAGGUGUGAGUAUAAUUGUGGAAUGGAAACCCAGGAUGAUUGGGUCGGGAAUUAAGUUAUGAGAUGCGAACUGUUAGAAGUGUAAACAGGUUACAUGUCGGUAACUUGGGACCUUCCGGUAUAGGGGGGACUCUGUCGAAAUUCUGGUAGAUGUUAAUACGAAGACCAUGAAUAUGUAUAUAUAUAUAUAUAUAUAUAAAAACUACUCUGUUUUUCUAUUGACAUGAGAUUGUGGUUUUAUCCCAGAAAUAGGGGAUGUUACAGUGUAGCUCGGUCAACCUGAAAUCCCAUCUAGCGAUUCCCUUUAACCAAAGCUACCUGAGAUCCCAUCUGGCGACCUCAUUCAACUGGAACUAAAAAAAUAUGUGUCUCGGUCAACCUGAAAUCCCAUCUGGCGAUUUCCUUUAACCAAAGCCACCUGAGAUCCCAUCUGGCGACCUCAUUCAACUGGAAAUAAAAAAAAAAGUGUGUCUCGGUCAACCUGAAAUCCCAUAUGGCGAUUUCCUUUAACCAAAGUCACCUAAGAUCCCAUCUGGCGACCUCAUUCAACUGGAACUAAAAAAAUGUGUGUGUCUCGGUCAACCUGAAAUCCCAUCUGGCGAUUCCCUUUAACCAAAGCCACCUGAGAUCCCAUUUGGCGACCUCAUUAAACUGGAACUAAAAAAAUAUGUGUAGCUCGGUCAACCUGAAAUCCCAUCUGGCAAUUUCCUUUAACCAAAGCUACAUGAGAUCCCAUCUGGCGACCUCAUUAAACCAAAACCAAAAAAAUGUGUAAAAAGUGGUCUAUUGUAAUGGGUGACCUACCCAGGUGGAAAAAAAAUAUGAAAAGCGGUCUCGUUGUGAUGGGUGACCUACCCAGAUGGAAAAAAUGUGAAGUGCGGUCUCAUUGUAAUGGGUGACCUACCCAAAGAAGGAGGAAAGAGUGGUCUCAUUGUAAUGGGUGACCUACCCAAGUGGAAGAAUGACAUCAUUGUAAUGGGUGACCUAUCCAGAUAAAAAACAUGGAGAAUUGGUCGCGUUGUAAUGGGUGACCUACCCAGAAAAAGAAUGUUGGUCUCAUUGUAAUGGGUGACCUACCCAAAAAAGAAGGAAAGAGUGGUCUCAUUGUAAUGGGUGACCUACCCAAGUGGAAGAAUGGCCUCAUUGUAAUGGGUGACCUACCCAAGUAAAUAAAACAUGGAGAAUUGGUCGCGUUGUAAUGGGUGACCUACCCAGAAAAAUGUUGGCGAGGGCUCAAAGGCGCACUCAAAAGGAGGUAGGGUUAUAAAACGCACUACCUGAGAAGUGAGGGCUCAACGGCGCACUCGAAAUGAGGUAGGGUUAGAAAACGCACUACCCGAGAUGUGAAGACUCAAAGGUGCACUCAAAAGGAAAUGAGGGCUCAAAGGCGCACUCAAAAUGAGAUAGGGUUAGAAAACGCGCUACCCCAAAAAGUGAUGAUGAAACACCGAUAUGACAAUGUUGAAAGCAAUGCAUUAUGAUCAAUAUGCAUGUACACAUACCUGAGAAAUAUAGGUCCCCAUUUCUUCAUGGUGUCUUUCUUUUCUCAAAAGUUGAAGUGUUGGUAGUAAACUUCGAUGACUUUUUCGCUCUUGCUUACUCGAGUCACAUCUUGUGAUCUUGACCUCUAGGAAAGAUUUGAUGUCAUCAUACUUCUUUGUCCUCUACCCUUAAUCUCAAGAGUUGUCAAUUUUGCCCGAUAUUCUUAGAAAGGGAAUCAUGGAGCCAGCCCUACCAGAUUUUUUUUUAUUGCUCCCCAGCUUGAUCAUGCCCCCAAGUGUUCAAUUCGGGUUUGGGUAUGAGGCUAUGUGAAGGAAGGUUUGGCCAGGAGUUGUUUUCAUGCAGAAAUUUUGGAAUUCCAAAACUAUUCCAGACACAGAAAUCAUUUUGACAUCGGUUCAAAGCAAACUCAUUCUGAAAAAAUUCAAGUGAUUCCUAUGGAGAGGUUAUCAGAAGUGAUGAAAACUUUUUGUUUUGCUUUUGGUGAAAAAUAUGAAGUGACAUUUGGCUGGUCGAAAUGGUUCAAGAUUUAAUAUGAGAGUUUCAAAGAACCAGUCUUGAAAGCAUUCAUUUUAUUUGCAUGAAUAAUGAUUUGGUUCACAUGAGAAAGCACUGCCUACCGAUCCAGAUUGCUUGCCUUUGAUUAGAAAGGGCUUGAUUAGGCACGUAAUGUAGGCUUGGGCUCUUGGUUAUGAAAAAAAUGAUAUUUGUAGGCUCAAAAGGUGUUUAAGGGAUUUCCAGACUAAGGAUCACUUGUGCUUGUUUCCUGACCUUUUGUCAUUUGAAUGUCUUUCGAAAAUUGUCUAUCGUGCCCCCUAAUGAUAGGCCUGGGCUCUUUCUCUUUGCCUUUGUAUUCUUCAUAUGGUUUUGAGCAUUAUCAUAUAGUUUUUUUUUCUUUUUGCUCAGAACUUUUGAUCCUUUGGAUUUUUCUUCAUGCCCCCUAGAUUUGUUCGGGCACCUUUGAUGAUUGAGAAUUUUCUUUUAUGCCCCCCAGUGUUGCUUCGACACUUUCAAUCAUGAGUUUUUUUUUUUAUGUCUCUUGCACUUGCCCCCAGUGUGGGGUGUGAUCCUAGCCAAGGUUAUUUUCAAGAAAAGCAUUAGGCUCAAAAGGGGACUGCAAAUGAUAUAUUUUAGUCUCGCGAAAAGAUUAUCAAAGAUGGCCUUUCCUCAUCUCAAACACAUGCACUUUGGAUCGGUAAGCCUUGCUUUCACGCGAGUAUGCAAAGUGAUUUCUCAUUAUUCAUUCAAAUAAGACUCAACUUUGGAGUCACUUCAUGGUUUUUUUUUUUUUUUUUCGGGUUUUCUAUGUGUAUAAACCUUUCUAAGGAAUCACCUGAAUUUCCGGAACUUGUUUGUUUGAACAAACACCAACAUGAUUUCUGUUUUGUACUUAACUUUGAAUUCCCAAAAAUCCUUGUGAACAUGUGCGAUUAUGCAUAGUUGGAAGAAAAGGGAAACACAGCCAAAGAUUCUUGGUGUGGUGGUUUCAUGCUUAACGGUUAUGCUCAAUGUGUUAUUUGCAUGAAAAAACAACAAAAAUGAAGGUAUGUCAUGAAGACCGGAAAACACAUGAUGUUAUUUAACAAGAAAGGCUCAUUUGACAGAGCAACUCUUGUGGCAUUAUGAGCUUACCAACAAGACUGAAACGGGUUAAAACAAAAAAUCAAGAAGUUUUGCAGGCAUGAUCGAACAGAGGUAUUUUUUUUUUACAAAGCAAGAACAGGCUCCAUUCUGCAACUGUGGUGCAAUUCCCCUUCGGUCAGCUUUCCCACAAAAGCUUUUAUGGAAAUGUUAUAUUGUGUUGGGGCUCGUGACCGUGUUUGCCCCCAAUUUCUUCAGGCUGGGUCAUUGUUGGGGUUUGAACAAAGAUGAUAGAUCAGUCGGAAGGAACUUUCAUAGAGUUAUUUUUCAGUAUUUGCUCGAGUAAGCUAGAGGCAAGUCACACAUGUCUUCAGAAACUCCAACUCUUCUUAAAAAUAGACAUUACGGCGAGCACACUCUUCAUCUUCCAUGUUUUUUUUCGUUCAAAAUCGAGUGUUGUAGACUCGUAGGGGACCUACUUUUCAUUCUGGUGCAUGCAUGAAAAAUGUAUGAACAUGUAAUCUAUAUGAUGAACUCGCCCUUCGAGGGGUGACAUAUGGUCGUAACUCUUGUAUGAUGAAACAAGAAUCGUGAUUCUUGCCCAAACUCUACAAUGAAAUUUUUUUUUUUUUAAGUGACGGCCAUUGGGUCGGGUCACCCACAAGUCUUGAGUUCAAGAUGCUUCAAGAAGGGUUUGCCCUUAUGCAAAUAAAAAUAGCACAUACAACCUAAGGACAAGUUCUAUUCAUUAUGUGAACAUGGGUAGGUUUUCUACCUGGUCUCAAGAGGGUCUCAUAUCUGCCCAGUGACGUUCUUCGUAAAGACAGUAUGGGGGCGUUGCAAGGAAUAAUUAAGGCACGUAUGCCCACCAUUACCAAGCAGGCACUCAGAUAUGAGUUGGGUGUUUCACGCAUCUAAACCCUGACCAAUAGUCUUAGGGCAGAUCGUUAAUUACCCACCUAACCUAGAAGCUUGUGUGUGCUUUCAAAAUUAAAACAAGUGAUGCAUGAAACAAUUCUAUAAAAUGCAUGGAAACAAAUAUGAAAAAAAGAGAUAAAAUGCAUUGCAAAAAUUUAAACAUAUCAAAUACACAAAGCUUAGUCCAAUAAUGUCAGAAACAAUACCUUCCCCAGUGGAGUCGCCAUUCUGUCGCACGUCAGAAAAUCCGCGCGGCGUCGGCUGGCGAUCUUUUCGUUGUCGUUUGAUUUGAUUGGUUCGUUGGAGUCGCCACCUAGUAAUUGAUUGCGGGCUACUAGGAAACCGGAUGUACUGGUCUUGUCAGAGAUUCACGGGUAAGGGACUGGUUGUGGUUAGGGAAGGUAUUAGCACCCCUAACGCACCUUACCUGAGGUAAGCUGCUUCGCGAAUUUGAUGUGUUUAAAGAAGUUUUAAUAAUUGUUUUUUCAUCGGAUAUUAGAAAUACAACUUACGUAUAAGUUAAUAAUUCUUGACCGUGAUCCAAUCAAAAUAUUAAAUUCUUCUUUAAUCUUUGUAAUUUUAUCAUAAAAAUAUAUAUAUAAAAAUAAAACAAAUACGAACACACACAUUCACUUUUACUAUAUUUGUUUCUUUUCUUUUCUUUUCUUUUUUUUCCUUUUUUUCCUUCCAUAUUUACAAAAUACAAAUUACAAAAACUCAAAUCUAAACAAAUAUUACAUUAAACAAAUUAGAAAUUACAAAAUAACCCCUCAAAACUCCAUAACAGUGCUGGGAAGCCCUUCUGGAACAGCAUGAACAGUGGCGGCGCGUCUUCCCACGCGCCACCGUCACUGGCAGCGCGUGGGUUCACGCGCCGCCGGGAAAAAAAGGCAGCGGGGGAGCUCCUCCCUUCUUCCUCGCUGACGGUGACUGCUACCUCUACCUGCAACAAGAAACGCAAAAAAGGGCCACAAACAGUUGAUUUUAGAUUUGUCUUUCUUUGUUUUUUUAGAUCUGCAUUUCUCCCUUCUCCUUCUUCGGAUCUGCUUCACUGCGGGUCAGCUGUUAUGGGUUUCAUCUUCUUCUCCUCUGCUUCGGGGGCAGAUCGGGCGGCGCUGCAGCCUCUCAGUCGCAGUAGAAGGCUGGCCGGCGAGAGAAGAAUGAGAGGGUGUCUUGGUUGGCGGCAGUGACUACUGCUGGCGGAAGAAGGCGGACCGAUUUGGGUCUGUGAGCGCCACUGUGUUCGGGCUGGUCUGGGUCGCUUAUGGUGGAGACCGGUGGCGGUGCUGAGGUGCAGCGGCGGAUGACUUCUGUUAAUGAAGAAAGAGAACAAGCCGGCUGUGAGAGGAGAGGAUAGAGAAAGUGUUGGCUGUUAUUGAGGGAAAGACUGUUCUGUGUUGAGAGGGAAGAACCAAUUUGGGGAGGAGAAGGAAAUGCAAGGAGAUCGUUUGGUGAAAGGGAGAAGGCUGUGUUUGGGAGAUGUUGGAGGUGAGGGCUAUGUGUUGAUGGCCGUCAAGAGGGAGACGAGAACGAUGGAGAUGGUGGAACUGAGGGGGAAAAUGUGGGGGUCUGAUAUGGCCGGGGGGUCCUUGGCUCUCUGGUUCUGGGAGAGCAAAAGCCAAGGACCCCGGGGGGCGCGGCUGGUCUUGGUUCCUUUUUUCAAAUGGGGGCGCCGGCUUCGGGUUAAGGAGAAGAAAGGGUUAUGAUUUUUAGGGUUUUUUGUGGUUUAGGGUUUAUUUGUGAUCCCCUCU